AUUGAACGCUGGCGGCAGGCCUAACACAUGCAAGUCGAACGGUAACAGGAAUCAGCUUGCUGAUUUGCUGACGAGUGGCGGACGGGUGAGUAAUGUCUGGGAAACUGCCUGAUGGAGGGGGAUAACUACUGGAAACGGUAGCUAAUACCGCAUAACGUCGCAAGACCAAAGAGUGGGACCUUCGGGCCUCUUGCCAUCGGAUGUGCCCAGAUGGGAUUAGCUAGUAGGUGGGGUAAAGGCUCACCUAGGCGACGAUCCCUAGCUGGUCUGAGAGGAUGACCAGCCACACUGGAACUGAGACACGGUCCAGACUCCUACGGGAGGCAGCAGUGGGGAAUAUUGCACAAUGGGCGCAAGCCUGAUGCAGCCAUGCCGCGUGUAUGAAGAAGGCCUUCGGGUUGUAAAGUACUUUCAGCGGGGAGGAAGGGAGUAAAGUUAAUACCUUUGCUCAUUGACGUUACCCGCAGAAGAAGCACCGGCUAACUCCGUG
rnacentral:rRNA from 1 species